rnacentral:rRNA from 1 species
AAUAGUAAAUUUAGCCUAUUCUCCUAAACCUAACACUAUAAAACAAAUCAUUUAUUUAUGACAGUAUGGGUGACAGAAAUCUUAUUAGCGCAAUAGAACAAGUACUGUAAAGGAAUAAUGAAAUAGAAAUUAAAUAAACAAUAAAAAUAAAAUAAAGCAAGGAAUAACACCUCUACCUUUUGCAUUAUGGUCUAGCAAGUCAAUUCUUGCAAAAAGAAUUUGUAAAUCCUCCCGAAACCAGGCGAGCUACCUUAAGACACAUACACCUCUCCCUGUAGCAAAAGAGAAGGAAGACCUUAUGGUAGAGGCAAAAAACCUAUCAAGCUUGGAUAUAGCUGGUUGCUUGAGAAAAGAAUUUAAGUUCAUAUAAAACCAAAUUUACCACAAAGGAAACUUAUGCUUUAUAUUAAUUAACUGAGUUACAGCCCACUUAAUAAGGGAAACAACCCACAUAAAUGAAUAAUAAUCUUUAAGAAAACUGGGUUAAGUAGGCCUAAAAGCAGCCACCAAAUGAAAACGUUAAAGUCCAACCCAUAAAUAAUCAACCAUCCCAUUAAUAUAUUUUAAUUCAACAAAAUUAUCAAGCCAAUCUAGUUUUAGAUAAACUACUACUAGAAUUAGUAAUAAGAACCUAUUCUCUUCAAUAUAAAUGUAUAUCAAAAUGAACUAAUCACUGAUAAUUAAUGAUUUUACUUAUAAAACAAGAAUAUAGUAACUAAAAACAUUAACCCAACACAGGAGUAUUUAAGAAAGAUAUAAUGGUUAGAAAGGAACUCGGCAAACAUGGGCUUCGCCUGUUUACCAAAAACAUCGCCUUUUGAAAUAUAAACAUAAAAGGUCCUGCCUGCCCAAUGACUUGUUUUUUAAUGGCCGCGGUAUCAUGACCGUGCAAAGGUAGCGUAAUCAUUUGUCUUUUAAAUAAAGACCAGUAUGAAUGGCAAAACGAAAGCCUAACUGUCUCUCUAACUCAGUCAAUGAAAUUGAUCUCUCCGUGCAGAGCCGGAAAUAAAAAUAUAAGACGAGAAGACCCUGUGGAGCUUUAAACUGUAAUUAACAAUUACAAAUGCUUUAAUAUCCAGCUUUUGGUUGGGGCGACCAUGAGGUAAAACAUAACCCUCACAAUAUAAUUAAGAAAGACACUUCAAACAACUAACAUAGUACAUGACCCAAUAUUUGAUCACGAACCAAGUUACCCCAGGGAUAACAGCGCAAUCUGCUCAAAAAGUUCUUAUCGACGAGCAGGUUUACGACCUCGAUGUUGGAUCAGGGCCCCCAAAUAGCGCAACAGCUAUUAAAGGUUCGUUUGUUCAACGAUUAAAGCCCUACGUGAUCUGAGUUCAGACCGGAGUAAUCCAGGUCAGUUUCUAUCUAUAAUCUAAUUUUUCUAGUACGAAAGGACCGAAAAAUUCAAGCCAAUAAAUAUUUUAAGCCUCACAAAAACCUCUGAAUACAAAUAAAGAGCAAUGAGAAAUAAAU